UGAACUAGCCGCUGCGGGGAAGUUAACGGGAAAAAUCACGCAUUUCAUGGUAAACCAUCCACGCAUCUUUCGCAGCGGGACCGUUUUCAUCAUAACCGCGGGAACAGACGGAACGGAGGUUCUUUAUCCAACCCGAGAUGGCGUCUGCAAAUGCGACAUACGGACAGAAGGAGUCUUCGGACCAGAACUUUGAUUACAUGUUUAAAAUCCUCAUCAUUGGGAACAGCAGUGUG